rnacentral:tRNA from 1 species
GGCAGUGUGGCCUAGCACAGAAAGCACUGAACUGAGACUCAGGAGACCUGGGCCUUAUUCCCAGCUCUGCCA